rnacentral:rRNA from 1 species
AUGAAGAGUUUGAUCCUGGCUCAGGAUGAACGCUAGCGGCAGGCUUAACACAUGCAAGUUGAGGGGUAA